GCAAGUCGAGCGCAGUCCUUCGGGACCGAGCGGCGGACGGGUUAGUAACGCGUGGGAACGUACCCUUCUCUAAGGAAUAGCCUCUGGAAACGGAGAGUAAUACCUUAUACGCCCUUAGGGGGAAAGAUUUAUCGGAGAAGGAUCGGCCCGCGUUAGAUUAGGUAGUUGGUGGGGUAAUGGCCUACCAAGCCUACGAUCUAUAGCUGGUUUGAGAGGAUGAUC
rnacentral:rRNA from 1 species